rnacentral:piRNA from 1 species
UUUACGCAUAAUUAAACCAUGGGAG